UGCAGUCGAUCGGUAACAGGUGUAGCAAUACAUGCUGACGAGAGGCGGMCSGGUGAGUAACGCUUGGGAAUCUGCCUAUUAGUGGGGGACAACCCGGGGAAACUCGGGCUAAUACCGCAUACGCUCUACGGAGGAAAGCCGGGGACCGCAAGGCCUGGCGCUAAUAGAUGAGCCCAAGUCGGAUUAGCUAGUUGGUAGGGUAAUGGCCUACCAAGGCGACGAUCCGUAGCUGGUCUGAGAGGACGACCAGCCACACUGGGACUGAGACACGGCCCAGACUCCUACGGGAGGCAGCAGUGGGGAAUAUUGGACAAUGGGGGAAACCCUGAUCCAGCGACGCCGCGUGGGUGAAGAAGGCCUGCGGGUUGUAAAGCCCUUUCGGUGGGGAAGAAAAGCCUCGACCUAACACGUCGGGGUAUUGACGUAACCCACAAAAGAAGCACCGGCUAACUCUGUGCCAGCAGCCGCGGUAAUACGGAGGGAGCUAGCGUUGUUCGGAAUUACUGGGCGUAAAGCGUACGUAGGCGGUUAUUCAAGUCAGGGGUGAAAGCCUGGAGCUCAACUCCAGAACUGCCCUUGAAACUAGAUAACUAGAAUCUUGGAGAGGUGAGUGGAAUUCCGAGUGUAGAGGUGAAAUUCGUAGAUAUUCGGAAGUACACCAGUGGCGAAGGCGACUCACUGGACAAGUAUUGACGCUGAGGUACGAAAGCGUGGGGAGCAAACAGGAUUAGAUACCCUGGUAGUCCACGCCGUAAACGAUGAUAACUAGCUGUUCGGGCUCUACGAGCUUGAGUGGCGCAGCUAACGCAUUAAGUUAUCCGCCUGGGGAGUACGGUCGCAAGAUUAAAACUCAAGGAAUUGACGGGGGCCUGCACAAGCGGUGGAGCAUGK
rnacentral:rRNA from 1 species